UACGGGGGGAGCAAACGUUGUUCGGAAUCACUGGGCGUAAAGGGCGCGUAGGCGGCUGAAUAAGUGGGAUGUUAAAUCCCCGGGCUCAACCCGGGACCUGCAUCUCAUACUGUUCAGCUCGAGCACAUCAGAGGAGACUGGAAUUCCCGGUGUAGCAGUGAAAUGCGUAGAUAUCGUGAGGAAGACCAGUGGCGAAGGCGGGUCUCUGGACAGUUCCUGACACUGAGGCACGAAGGCCAGGGGAGCAAACGGG
rnacentral:rRNA from 1 species